AUGAAUGUUUAAGAAUAACACAUAUGCAUGAAAUGGUGGCUUAAUUUUCCUCCACAAGUAUAAGUGAAAACGUGGGCUUAAGUGAAAGUAAAAACGUGGUUUAACUUUCUACACAAAUGGAAGUGAAAAUGUGGUCUCCUAAUUGUCCACACAAAUCAUUCAAACUCUCCUAUAAAUAGCAACCAUCUCCUCACUAAUUCUUCACACCAGCUCUGCUCUCCCUCUCUGCAUACAAUUGAAGUGUCCUAGAUGAAGGUGAUUGCUCGAGUUAUUUUGGAAAGCUUCGAGUUAGUGCAGGAUUCUAAGGCCUCAAGUUGAAGUUCAUUGAGAAAAGGAAAACGUGAUUGUGAGAGACAUUAAUUAUAAUACAAGGACCGUUAGUGUUGAUUAGUGAUCUAGUUUAUUUUUGGAGUCCGAAGAGAAAGAUCUCUUUGAUAUGUAUUGAUGACGUCAUUGGACUGGAUGACAGGCAUCUGUGGUGUUUGAUCAGCUCGUGAUUAUUUGUGGGUUAGAGUCUUUUGUAGGAAUUUAUCUUUUUAUCAUUUUAAA